CUUUUUUGCUACUAAUUUAUUUCUGAUACUAUUUCCUAAUUAUGUACAAAUUAUUAGAUUUUAAACUUUAUUUCCAGAGCUCAUGAUUUAUCUCACUGUUAAGAGUAAUGCCAUUGAUUUUUUUUUUUUUAAGUAAUUAAAAUUUCAUAGAAAAUACAUAUUUUACUAAAAAAUAUGGGAAUAAGACUCCAUUGUUACCCACAGUAAUUCCUGUACUGAAGAGAGAAAUGUGCCAGCUUCUGUUUCUGGCCCCGCAAUUGGCAUUGGACCAGUUGCUUUUACCUGUGAGAUUUCCCCGUCUAUGAAAUAGAGAUAAUGAUAUUUCUUGAUAUUUUUUUUUUCCUUCCCCAAAGUCCUUUGAGAUCCAGUGAUGAAAAGCAUCUAUACAGGAGCUAGGUAUCGCUACGAUCCAAGGUGCUAGUUCUGCAAACUCUUCCACACAUUUUAUUUAACAGUAGGAUAUAUGAGAGAGACCCCUGGAACUUCAUGGCAUAUAUAUGCCUGUACUAGGGCAAUGGAGUUUAGAUCAUCUUUUACUAUGGUAGGUAUUCAAAAGUGACCACAGUUGCCCCAUGAUAGGAAUCCACAGUGUAUAUCAAGUCAGUCUAUGAUUUGUCUGAAUGCAGUGUUUACAUGAAUAUAAUUGAUGGCAUUUUCAGGCUGAUGGUCCAGCUAUUAAGAAAUUGGAAGUUGAUAUUCAUUUUGUGCAUAGAAAACUGGGACAGAGAUUGGUGUUUCUAUUCCUGGCAAGUAAACAACCCUUUUCUCCCCAACUCUU